CCUAAAAGUAUAUACUAAAAGGAUUUUGAGAAAGUAAUGCGUCAAAGUGAAAAUGGGGAGGAGAGCACUGACGUUCAUCAGAGCCCGUGCUGUGCCAUGUGCUGUGUUUGAUAGUCCCCAAAGGUGGCUGCCCCCAACUCCUUCCCUCUCGUCUGUCCACACUGCUCCUCACGCCAAGAGGUGACACCCACUCGAACCUUCCCCUUGAACCUGGGCUGGCUUCAGUGACUUACUUGGCCAACAGAACACAGCAGAAAUCAUGAUCUGGAACUGCCGGGGCAAGGCCACAAGAAGCAAUUUGUGCCCAGGUCUUCUGUAACGCUGGCUCUUAGGAUGCUCCCUCUUGGAAACCAGCCCCAGGGCUAUGAGAAUUCCAUGCCCCCUGGAAAGGCCAUUUUAGGUGUUCCAAUCGACAGGCCCCGAUGAGCUCCCGGCCGACGUCAACUGCCAGCUCUAGGAGGGCACCCUCUCGGACAUCCAGUGCAACUGAACCUUCAGAGGACUCCAGCCCCAGCUGGGCUCUGCCCACAGCCACACGGCAGAACUGCCUGGCAGAGCCCAGAGACUCAGGAAGUUGCUUUUUCAAGGCUCUGGAGGAAAAACACCAGCUGAGGAAGAAUGAAGAGCUGCCUGUUCUAAGUUAUUUUCCUUCUGUGGUCAUUCGAUCCCCAGGAAGACGGCGUCUGCCCCAUCGAGUGCCUGGAGAAAGGAGGCAAUUACCCAGAGAAGUCAAGCAAAAAGGGAAGGACAAAUGAAAAUCCCGCCCCAGGGAGGAGGUCCCGGGCUCCACGCUGGAGUGGAUACAACCCUCAGCACACCCUGCCUCGCACAGAAGCUUGAUGAGCUCCCUGCCACUGAGGAUGUGUGAGCACAAGCUGGGUGAGCACCUGUCGGGAUGUCACAGGAGGAGGAGUAGGUCCUUGCCUCGCUGCGAUGCUGUGGCUCCGAGCGGCAGUCAGCGGCACUCCUCUCUUGGGUUUAGCCUUCGACGUUGGUGCAGAAGCUGGAAGUGUUUCACUUACACAGAAAAGAGACUGAGAUUAGCUCUCAGCUAACUACUGCCAGUCCUCCUCUUUUUUGCUGAGGAAGCCUGGCCCUGAGCUAAUAGUGUGCCCAUCUUCCUCUACUUUAUACGUGGGAUGCCUGCCACAGCAUGGCGUGCCAAGCGGUGCCAUGUCCGCACCCGGGAUCCGAACCGGCGAACCCCGUGAGGCUAAGUGGAAAGUGCGAAUUUAACCGCUGUGCCACCCGGCCGGCCCCUCAUCUCCGUCUUGAACCCCUUUGAUGGAAGCAGAAUGUUCCAAGUGUAGAUUCUAGAAGACUUAGAAGCGGGUCUAAGCUCCACGUGUUGAGCUUUCUCCACAGUGGGGGGCAGGCCAAGGAGCGGUUUUGAAGCUUUUAAAGGCUCACUGGCCCUUCAAAAAACGGCUCAGCUGGACAUAUGGUUUUUGAAACUUUUCAAAAAGCCUUGUGGGCUUAUUUUUAGAGCAAACCUUAACCUUGUAAAACUUCUUAAAGGAGCCACGGAGGGCCCGAUCGUUUGAGCCCCUUAAAGCCCCAGGCAGCUGGAAACUCCCAGAAGUUUCCAGCAUAGACUUUCCUUGUGCUUGAUGUUUGUACCAGGCUGCCCCUUAAAAGGGUGUGUCCUGGGAGCCAGAAGACCUGGGCCAUCGGCAAGCUGCUUAAGGAGGCAGUUUGCUUGCCUAGAAUCACAGACUCACAGAAUCUCAGACUCUCCUGAUGGAAAGGAAACUUAAAAGUCACCGAGUCAACCCUGACUUGAUGCC
rnacentral:lncRNA from 1 species